CUAUGACCAGGGCUGCGGCAGCACAACCCAAAUGAGGCGGUGAAUUUUCAGGUCGUUUUCUACGGAUCGGCUCUAGUCCGCCUUCCUGGCCCUUGUUUGGUGGGACCGAAUGGGACAGGGUCAUUUGGAGACCUCGACCUCGAGAGGAUAUUUUAUGAAACAAAACCUAAGAUUACUGUACACAUAUUGACACUAUUCUCAGAGUAAGUGUAGGCCUACCGAUGUCAGUUCCCAGCCAUAAUGCAUACCAGUAACCUUAGCUUCAAAACAAUCGUCAAAGUUCUUGACUUUACAGGCAACCCAGAUUGCAAUCUAAAGAGAUCAGGGCUGGGGGUGUGACUCCCAGAGACCUUGCCUCCCUAUCCCUAGUACUACAAAAGACAGACGGACACAGAGAGGGCAUGUACUCUCAAUGACAGUGGAUGACGCACCUCACUUUACAUCCACUCAUGUACUCAGCUCUGAUUACUGAGCAGCUACUUACUAUGUGCUUCAGGCAUGGGUUAGAGUUCAGGAAUACACGGACCUUCCUUUGAGACAGGGUUCCUGCUUUGGAUGUCACUAUCUGAGCAGAGAGAGGCACAGAGAGGCCAUCACAAUACAAGAUGAUGGGGAUACAGGGACAGAAGAAAGGUUGGAGCUGCCAGACUAAGGCCUUUCCAGCAAAAGUUAAAAGAGGUGGGCUCGGUGCUCCUGCAGCCUCGGCCCUUCCUCAGGUGACCUGCCGAAGGGGUCCCCAGGAAGGCUACCCUGGAAGGGGCAUCUGUGUCCUGCUCCUGGCGGCUCUGCAGGACUCUGCAAGACAGGAGUCGUGGUCCCUCCAGAUCUCCAGGUCCUGAGCCUCAGAGCUCAUCCUGACCCGUUCCUAGGGAUGCACCCUAUCCCCACCUGAGACCCGGGAACCUGCUGGCCUGUCACAGCCUCGAGGUAACAGUCACAUUCCUGAAAAUCGCUGCCCAGGCAGCAGCACCCCAGAAAGGCACUGUUGGGGCAAGGGGCACCACCACCAUGGCAGGGAAGAUAGGGCACCAGGCAGCAAGUUCAUGGUGCCUCUGGGCCUCUGGCACAGCCUGUGUCGGUGUGUGUGAGCAUGCGUGUGACAGUGUGUGUGUGUGUGGCGGGGACACAGACUCAUCUGCAGAUGGCCUCUUCUGCCUCAGAACUUUCAGUGCUCCUGGGAGGGGACCCUGACCCAAAGAACCCUGGUGGCCCCCAGUGCUCAAGGUCCCUGCCAUCAGGGAUCAGGGUGACAGCCCUCCGGAAGGAGUGCUUCCUGGAGACAGCAGGUGACAGGAGCCAAGAAGCCCUCCCACUGUGGGAAGCUGGUCAGGUUCAGCCCCGUCCUGGCCAUGCUGGACCUUCCUGCAGGGCCCAGCCUCCUUCCUCCCUCUCCUUCCCUCAUCCAUCUGUUCGGGACGCAUGAUGCGGGCAUCAGAGAUUCCCAGGCGCCCAGGCCUUUGAAUUAUGGAGCAGCUUUCCUGCCCCUCUCAGAAAGGCCCUGACUGACUACUUCACUGCCCUGGGAAGCCCCAGUGGUUUCCUCCUGGCAGAAGUAGGUCAGGCAUGGAUGGCCGUGGGGGUCAGCAGGCAGGAGGCCCGGCUGGCUUGGCCAGUGCCCUGCUGGACCAGAUAGCACAGCAAGGCGAGGGUGCAGGGGAGGGAGGGUGUCAUCCCUCCUCCUGGAGGCCCCCACCUAGCACCCAGGCUUCUCCUCCUUUCCUUCCCCUCCUCACCGUCAACCUGGGCCAGCAGCCGCCAACAGUCGCCAGCGGCGAGCAGCGUAGGCCUGAGCCACCAGGGUGCUAGUGGACCAGUGACGGGGGCCAGACGCAGCCUCCCCAGCCUGUCUCAGGAGCCCAGCAAGGGGCAGGCUCUGUCCCAGGCACAAGCCAGGUGCAGGUGGCUCCCCGGGUAGAUGCAGAAGGAAAAAGCAAAUGGUGAAACCAUCAGGUCAGUGUUACGGCCCCGCUCCGGUGAGGAAACCCAGACUGCAGAUCACACAAAGGGCAUCCUGACCUCUGCCUGGGCAGCCUGGGUCUCAGCACCGCCCAGCUCUGGGGACCUGCACACCCUGGGAGGGGUCCCUGGUGGGCCUUGGGUGCAACCCAUGGUCACAGGGUGGAAAAAGGACCACUUCUUCGCCAGCUCAGCCCCAGCGCUCAGGGCCCAGAGAGACCACAGGCUGCAAACAGAAGCUCAGGUCCCUCCGGUCGUCCUGUGGGAGUCCAGG